GACGAACGCUGGCGGCGUGCUUAACACAUGCAAGUCGAACGGAAAGGCCCUGCUUUUGUUGGGUGCUCGAGUGGCGAACGGGUGAGUAACACGUGAGUAACCUGCCCUUGACUUUGGGAUAACUUCAGGAAACUGGGGCUAAUACCGGAUAGGAUCUCCUGCUGCAUGGUGGGGGUUGGAAAGUUUCGGCGGUUGGGGAUGGACUCGCGGCUUAUCAGCUUGUUGGUGGGGUAGUGGCUUACCAAGGCUUUGACGGGUAGCCGGCCUGAGAGGGUGACCGGGGACAUGGGGACUGAGAGACGGAGCAGACUGCUACGGGAGGCAGCAGUGGAGAAUAUUGCAGAAUGGGCGGAAGCCUGAUGCAGCAACGCCGGGUGCGGGAUGACGGCCUUCGGGUUGUGAACCGCUGUCGCAUGUGACGAAGAGUGAGUGACGGUAAUGGGUAAAGAAGCACCGGCUAACUACGUG
rnacentral:rRNA from 1 species